UAUAAAUCUUAUGCUCAAC
rnacentral:piRNA from 1 species